UCCUACGGGACGCAGCAGUGAGGAAUAUUGGUCAAUGGGCGGAAGCCUGAACCAGCCAAGUCGCGUGAGGGAAUAAGGCCCUACGGGUCGCAAACCUCUUUUGCCGGGGAGCAACGGGGUCCUUGCGAGGGCCCGAUGAGAGUACCCGGAGAAAAAGCAUCGGCUAACUCCGUGCCAGCAGCCGCGGUAAUACGGAGGAUGCGAGCGUUAUCCGGAUUUAUUGGGUUUAAAGGGUGCGUAGGCGGGCUGUUAAGUCAGCGGUCAAAUGUCGGGGCUCAACCCCGGCCUGCCGUUGAAACUGGCGG
rnacentral:rRNA from 1 species